ACUAACCCUUUAACAACAACUACCCCUUUAACAACUACCCCAUUAACAACAACUACCCCGUUAACAACAACUACCCUAGAAACAACCAACUCAACAACUACCCCUUUAACAACAACUACCCCUUUAAUAACAACUACCACCGAGACAACUAACUCAACAAUCAUUUCUGCAACUACCCCAGCAACACCAAACUGGAACACAACAACCAACUCCACAACCCGUCCUCAGCACAUCCAGCAGUUCAGGCUUUCCACAGCGGAAAUAAUCGGCCUUUCCUGUUCAGCUUUGCUGUUCAUACUAACGUUUGUAGUUGUAUAUUUUAUUUGGAAAAAUGGAAAACGGACAAUGAACUCUAAUUAAGGAGAAUAGAGCAAUGAGAUGACCUGUAGAGAGCGCUCUUUUGAGAACCUCACACCAGAUAUCACAGACUUGUGAAAUGACACGUCAUCAUCAUCAUCAUCAUCAUCAUCAUCAUCAUCAUCAUCAUCAUCAUCAUCAUCAUCAUCAGCAGCAGCAUCAUCAUCAUCAUCAUCAUCAUCAUCAUCAUCAUCAUCAUCAUCAUCAUCAUCAUCAUCAUCAUCAGCUCACUGGCAGUAACUAGAGUACACUGUUUGAGUGGCUCACUUGACCUCUUAGUGCUGCACAUCCAGUCCAUUUCUACACAAGACGAUAUAAUCAGGCUUACGAGGACUUCAGUGAGAUACCAUUUCAAAUCGCUGAACAACCUGGGAGUCUGCAACUGGAAACGACCUGUUCAUUCAUCUGCCAUGUGUAACAGAAGUGGGUAAAGGAACCUAUGUGAUACUCCGAGGAUUACACGUGGGUCAGGGGUGAUGGUCAUGCUGAAUUGUGGGUUAGCUAAUCAGAAGACCCUUCAUUAACCCAGACAUGCCUGAAUUGUAAUUCCAAGUGACCUAUAUGUAGGGCAAUAUGAAAUGCACCUGAGUCACUUUAAAUAAUGCAUUGGAAAAUGCCUUGGUUUUAACCCUUGAUAUAGCCUGGAUUUGGCUAAACUCCAUAUUCCUCAAAUCAGAAGUGGGUGAACUCAGUUUAUCCAUGUUUAACCUCGACU